rnacentral:rRNA from 1 species
UACGGAGGGUGCGAGCGUUGUCCGGAAUCACUGGGCGUAAAGGGCGCGUAGGCGGCGCGGGCAGUCAACGGUGAAAGCUUGGGGCUCAACCCCGAGUCGGCCGUCGAUACUCCCGGGCUGGAGCACUGUAGAGGCAGGUGGAAUUCCAGGUGUAGCGGUGAAAUGCGUAGAUAUCUGGAGGAAUACCGGUGGCGAAGGCGGCAUCCUGGACCGACAUUGACGCUGAACGGCGAAAGCUAGGGGAGCAAACGGG